rnacentral:rRNA from 1 species
GACGAACGCUGGCGGCGUGCUUAACACAUGCAAGUCGAACGGAAAGGCCCUGCUUUUGUGGGGUGCUCGAGUGGCGAACGGGUGAGUAACACGUGAGUAACCUGCCCUUGACUUUGGGAUAACUUCAGGAAACUGGGGCUAAUACCGGAUAGGAGCUCCUGCUGCAUGGUGGGGGUUGGAAAGUUUCGGCGGUUGGGGAUGGACUCGCGGCUUAUCAGCUUGUUGGUGGGGUAGUGGCUUACCAAGGCUUUGACGGGUAGCCGGCCUGAGAGGGUGACCGGCCACAUUGGGACUGAGAGACGGCCCAGACUCCUACGGGAGGCAGCAGGGGGGAAUAUUGUACAAUGGGCGGAAGCCUGAUGCAGCAACGCCGCGUGCGGGAUGACGGCCUUCGGGUUGUAAACCGCUUUCGCCUGUGACGAAGCGUGAGUGACGGUAAUGGGUAAAGAAGCACCGGCUAACUACGUG